rnacentral:rRNA from 1 species
UACGGGGGGGGCAAGCGUUGUUCGGAAUUACUGGGCGUAAAGGGCUCGUAGGCGGCCAACUAAGUCAGACGUGAAAUCCCUCGGCUUAACCGGGGAACUGCGUCUGAUACUGGAUGGCUUGAGAUUGGGAGAGGGAUGCGGAAUUCCAGGUGUAGCGGUGAAAUGCGUAGAUAUCCGGAAGAACACCAAAGGCGAAGGCAGUGUCCUGGCUGGUCCCUGACGCUGAGGUGCGAAAGCUAGGGGAGCGAACGGG